ACAGGGUGACAGGUGGUGGCAUGGUUGUCGUCAGCUCGUGUCGUGAGAUGUUGGGUUAAGUCCCGCAACGAGCGCAACCCUCGACCUUAGUUGCCAGCAUUCAGUUGGGCACUCUAAGGUGACUGCCGGCUAAAAGUCGGAGGAAGGUGGGGAUGACGUCAAAUCAUCAUGCCCCUUAUGACCUGGGCUACACACGUGCUACAAUGGGCGGUACAAAGGGUCGCGAACCCGCGAGGGGGAGCCAAUCCCAAAAAGCCGCUCUCAGUUCGGAUUGCAGGCUGCAACUCGCCUGCAUGAAGCCGGAAUCGCUAGUAAUCGCGGAUCAGCAUGCCGCGGUGAAUACGUUCCCGGGCCUU
rnacentral:rRNA from 1 species